UUCCUAGUCAGACAAGCCGAAGUGUCUUACCGUGAAUCCAUUUCUUUGUUGUUUGUGUUGAUUGUUGAACUUUAGACUUGUGCUACUUUAUAUUAUGUUAUGUUUGUUGCCUUGUUGGUGGAGUUUAGACUAAUUUUAUUAGAUUUUUUUAUGGAUUGAAAGUAAUUGACUUAUUAUUGUUGUUUUUGGGUUUUGGCUAUAAUGUGAGUUAAUAUUGUUGUCUAGGUUGGGAAUUAAUUUAUUAUCAUUGUUCUUUUUUUUUAAUAUAAAUUACAUGUGUCUAUAAUUUUUUUUUGUUAUAAAUUAUCACAAGUUAUGAAUUGGUGCAGUGGAUAAGAUCUCUUUCUUUCAAAGGUCAAGAGUUCAAAUCCUAUUGCACACAUUUCAUAAAUUCGAAUUUUUUUAAAUAAACCGGUUAAUUCUGCCAAAUUGAGAAACAGUCUAUUAAUCGGUUUUGAUCGGUUAACCGAU
rnacentral:lncRNA from 1 species